GACGAACGCUGGCGGCGUGCUUAACACAUGCAAGUCGAACGGAAAGGCCCUGCUUUUGUGGGGUGCUCGGGUGGCGAACGGGUGAGUAACACGUGAGUAACCUGCCCUUGACUUUGGGAUAACUUCAGGAAACUGGGGCUAAUACCGGAUAGGAGCUCCUGCUGCAUGGUGGGGGUUGGAAAGUUUCGGCGGUUGGGGAUGGACUCGCGGCUUAUCAGCUUGUUGGUGGGGUAGUGGCUUACCAAGGCUUUGACGGGUAGCCGGCCUGGGAGGGUGACCGGCCACAUUGGGACUGAGAUACGGCCCAGACUCCUACGGGAGGCAGCAGUGGGGAAUAUUGCACAAUGGGCGGAAGCCUGAUGCAGCAACGCCGCGUGCGGGAUGACGGCCUUCGGGUUGUAAACCGCUUUCGCCUGUGACGAAGCGUGAGUGACGGUAAUGGGUAAAGAAGCACCGGCUAACUACGUG
rnacentral:rRNA from 1 species